rnacentral:rRNA from 1 species
UACGUAGGGGGCUAGCGUUGUUCGGAUUUACUGGGCGUAAAGAGCGCGUAGGUGGUUUAAUAAGUUAGAAGUGAAAUCCCGGAGCUCAACUUCGGAACUGCUUCUAAAACUGUUUAACUAGAGUGUGGUAGGGGGUAAUAGAAUUCCUAGUGUAGAAGUGAAAUUCUUAGAUAUUAGGAGGAAUACCGAUGGCGAAGGCGAUUACCUGGGCCAUAACUGACACUAAUGCGCGAAAGCGUGGGGAGCAAACAGG